AAAAAAACCAAAUAUAUCCUAGGAAUACUUUCCAAAAGAUAGCCUCACGAGUUUGAUCUUCUUAGAAUGUCCCAGCAAGACACUCAACCGUUGUGCGGGAAGACUGGGAGGCAUCUCAGAUUCGAAUUAUUGGCG